CUCGGGGUGUGGGGUCCCUCAGCCCGGAGUUGUGAGAGGACACAGGCUAGGCUGAGGGACCCCACUGGUGCACA
rnacentral:pre_miRNA from 1 species